GACAGAGGGUGCAAACGUUGUUCGGAAUUACUGGGCGUAAAGCGCGUGUAGGCGGCCCUGCAAGUCGGGUGUGAAAUCCCACGGCUCAACCGUGGAAGUGCACUCGAAACUGCAGGGCUAGAGUCCUGGAGAGGAAGGUGGAAUGCUUGGUGUAGAGGUGAAAUUCGUAGAUAUCAGGAGGAACACCGGUGGCGAAGGCGGGUCUCUGGGCCGAUACUGACGCUGAGGAGCGAAAGCGUGGGGAGCGAACAGG
rnacentral:rRNA from 1 species